CCUACGGUUAUAAGCCCUACGGUCAAACCUACGGUUAUGCAUACAAGCAGCCUUCUUAUCACUACUGGUAAAUCUUUCUCCUAUUAAGAGAGAUUAAGUUUUAGUAC